rnacentral:lncRNA from 1 species
AAUUAUCCAGAGGUGUUGAAGAAAGCAAAAGACGAAUUGGACACACAAGUAGGGCAAGACCGCUUGUUAAAUGAGUCAGACCUGCCAAAACUUCCUUAUCUUAGAAAGAUCAUCCUUGAGACACUUAGGUUGUAUCCCCCAGCUCCAAUUCUAAUACCUCAUGUUUCUUCAGAAGAUAUUACUAUUGAAGGAUUCAAUGUCCCACGAGACACAAUUGUGAUCAUUAAUGGUUGGGGCAUGCAGAGAGAUCCUCAGUUAUGGAAUGAUGCUACAUGCUUUAAACCUGAGAGGUUUGAUGUGGAGGGAGAGGAGAAAAAGUUGGUAGCAUUUGGGAUGGGAAGAAGGGCUUGUCCAGGAGAACCCAUGGCUAUGCAAAGCGUCAGCUUUACUUUAGGAUUGUUGAUUCAAUGUUUUGACUGGAAAAGAGUUAGUGAGGAAAAACUUGAUAUGACAGAGAAUAAUUGGAUCACCUUAUCAAGGUUGAUUCCGUUGGAGGCCAUGUGCAAAGCUCGCCCACUUGCCACUAAAAUUUGAAGUUUGUAAUAUAUAGUAUUUUUAUUUGGUAAACUUGGGUGAUCGAGAAUCUAAUUACUUAUAGUUACAGUGUGUAAGUGAUUGUCUUAUACGUGUUAAAAUUAAAAAAUAUUUAUUGUAUGUCGGCAAGGCCAAUUGUAGAAUUGGGUGUGCAUUAUAUCAAUAUUGUAUGCAUCCAUAAUUUCUUGAAUAAAUUUCCUUACGUUUUAUUCAAUAUGAUGAUUCAUAGUACUUAUGAAAAAGAGAUUUUUCCUUUGCUUUCUCUCAGUAUUGGUGUUGCUUGGAUGAAUUAAGAACCGAUUAUGAUGUUAGCUAUUAAAGAGUUGUCUAAGUUUGAACGAAUAAGUCAAAGCCUCGCAUAUGGCAACAGAUCAUAGGAUCGAAAAAAAAUGAGUUUCUUGAGUUGCCUUUAAAGAUGAGGAUCUCCAUUUCAAGAGCUUUUCCUGUAUCAGUUUUAAAAUUGCAAUUUUUAUGACUCGAUUUCUUUUGUAUCGAGUCAAGAGUUCCUUCAUGAAUUUGACAUAGAUAGACAUUUGCUCCAAUCUUAUCUUUGCGGUUGUCAUUUUUUUUUUCGCCUUAGAUCACAAAGCCAUCUUCAAAAGUGUUUUCCCUAUUUCCAAACAUUUAGCUAGAGGGACUAAAUUAGCUCUUGCAGUCAUUGUUUGAUCAAGAGUUUAUAGAUAUUGGAGUUUACUGACAAAAUUGUCAUAAGGUUUGAUUACUUUUCUUAUUUUUCAAACACAACUAAACUGUUAAUCUACACAACAUUUAAUUUCAAAAGAGAGCAAUGGUUCUAGAACGGGGAAUGCGAAUUGGAAUUCAAUUAGUUGUGGUAAAAGCUAUUUGGGUUGAGUUGGUGGAUUGAGUACGGGAACUUGCAGUGUUAGCCAUAGUUGACAUCAGUUUCGUUGGUCAUAGUCCGAAACUAUAACAUUAGUUUAGCAUUUGUUAAGUGGACGCUAAACAUGGUGCCAAUAGGUGGCAUUUACCAAAAACAUAGACACACUACUACUUAGCUUCUGGCUUUUAAGCAUUGAAUCAAAGGCAGAUGUAAAGUGGAUGCUAGUGUCUAUUUAGUGUUUGUUUUUAUGUGUUAACACAAGCUUUUAGCCAAUAACAGAAAAUCAUUUUAAAAACUUGUCUAUAAAUACUAAAAAAUCUAGUAUUAACAAUGUGCAUGUUGUACAUAUUUUCUUAGUAAAUUAAUAUAUUUUUUAGUUAUACCUAUAAAACUAAAACAAGGUUUAAAGAAACAAUUAAUAUUCCAAAACAGAGUCAGCAAGUGUGUAUUUUUGUUCUACAAUUUUGAAUGUGUAAACCCUAGACAAUAAUGUAACAAAUAAAAACCCAUUGUGAAAAAUAUAAAGAUAAACUUUAAAUCUGAAUAAUAACUCUCUUUAAUUAAUUAUCCUUUUUUCUAAAUUAGAAUUAAAUAGACUAUGUUUCAUUGAGAAUUGGACGUUUAAUUAAAUUAAGAAUUGAUACUUUUGUUGUUUUUGCUCUCAUGUUAUCAGAGAAAAAGAAUACAAAAAAUAUAAUAUAUUUACUGGUAAUCUUAGAUUUUUAGUUUUUAAGAAAAAACAUAAAAAGAGAAAACUAACAAAUUAAGCCUAUAAAAAAAAUAACAAAUUAAAAUUUUUAAUCCACUAACUAAUAUUUUUUGGGAAAGAUCUUCCAACUUAUAUAAGUUGACUUAAUAAUUAAGAAAUGAUGAAGAGAGAAGGAACGAGAGAAAAAUUACGAAUUCAAAUUUUUAGUAAAAUUAAUAAAUUACCAUUAUUGAUAAAAAAAAACAUAAAAAAUGUUAAAAUAAUUCAAAUCCAUUGCAAAAACAUAUAUCCAACAUGGUCCAGUUUAAAAUAUCACUAUAUAUGACUAUGAACAUCAUCUACCAAGACUGAACCCUCUAGAGAGUCAAUGAUAACUGAUAAGACUAAUUAAAUAACAUCUAGAAUGAUGCCCUAUCUUCCCUUUGAAUAUUGGUAUACGAUUUCCCUUUUGACCAAUGGGAUACCUUGUCCAAAGACCAAGAGUUUCGGGUUCAGCUUUCUGAGUAAAAAAGCGGCAACAUGUUCAUGUACUAUACUUGAUGCAUUGAACAUUAUGGCCUUCUGCACGUACCCCAACCACCGCAGCCAUAUUUGUAAACAUUUAACAACAAUCACUUUCAUAGAGAGAGAGUACAUUCUGGGCUUCUUUGGUAAAUAUUUUAAUUAAAUAAAUAUUUAUUACAUAGGUCUUUAUGUACGUACUACUAUAAGUUAUUUUUCUAACUGAAUAAGCAUUUUCAUAUAUACAUAUAUACAAAUACUAAUGUUAUAAAAUAAGUUCAAAUAAAUUGUAAAUGAAGAUUUUAAAACAUAACUUUAGUACUUGAUUUUAAAUUUUUGUAAUGGAAUUAAUCAAAAGAAAAUAAUUUUUUUUCUAUUUUUACUCAUUCCUCAAAAAGUUUAAAUAAAAAAAUAAAGCAUGUUAUUUGUGUAAUUAUGGUUGAAAUUAUUUUAACUGAAAAUAAAUAAUAAAAAACGACUUCCUUUUGUAGUUAAUUUAUAUUUCAUAAAGUGAAUUUUUGGAUACCAAAACACAAGAGAAAUAUGAAAAUUAAUAACAUCUAAAAUUUUAUAACUGUAUAUUUGAAUUUAAAUUUAUUUGAUAGACAAAUAUGUUAUAUUUAUUGUGGUCUGUGGAUAGUUUUGACUGAUAAUAAGCGAUGAAUUUGAAUGGGAUUCCCUUCCCAACUCUCCGAUCCGAAGAUAGUUUUGACUGAUAAGCGAUGAACUUGAACGGGAUUCCCAUCUCUGAAUCGUACGUAGAACUAGAAAUAAUAAUGGUGGCCCUUUCAGGAUUAUAGUCAAUUUUUUUUCACUAAAUAAAGUAUAAUUUAAUUGUUUACGUAACGUAGAACAGCUCGGUGGCGUUUGAUUAUUUGAACAUCAAAACAUCAAAAUUGACUCGAGAUCUAAGUUAAGAAAAGUAAGAUUUUGUUGAGGUAUAUAUAAAAGAAAUAUCAAUAUAUAUAAAAAUAAUAUGCUAUUCAGUUUGCUUAAUUUCUUGAAUUUUCAGCCCUUAUUUAAUUUGCUUUUCAUUUUUAUUUAUCGACAUCAAAAUUUAAUACGGUUUCAUCGUAAUAAUUGAAAACAAACCACAUUAAAAAAAAGAGAGUAUAAAAGUGCAUGAUAAUUGAUAAUAAAAAAGGGCUGCUAUUCUGCUAGACAAAAGUUGAGUAAAAUAAUCUAAAUCUAUACGAAUAUUAUAAAAAAGGGCUGCUAAACAUUAGAAUGAGAAGUGGACAAAAUUCAAGUCAAAUAUUGUACUAAAAAAACACUGCGGGUUUGACGGCACGUUAUGCCUCAAGUAUUAUAUAAAGCUCGUUCGCAUGCAACAUAUUGCAAUCCUCAUAACUGCACUAUCACACACAUAGUUCUCUUAUCUGGUGCAAGUGCAACAAUCAAGUACUCAUCAGCAUGGGAAUGUUGUUGUUGUUGUUGUCUUAUUCUCUCCUUUUCCUGGUUCUAUUCCUUACACUGAAAUCCCUUUUCCAAAGCAGAAAAUUGAGAAACCUACCACCAGGUCCUCCUCCUCUUCCCAUAAUAGGUAACCUUAACCUCCUCGAACAACCUAUUCACCGUUUCUUCCAACGCAUGUCCAAAGAAUAUGGAAACAUCGUUUCCCUUUGGUUCGGUUCACGUCUCGCCGUUGUCAUUUCCUCACCAACUGCAUACCAAGAAUGCUUCACCAAACACGACGUUGCCUUGGCCAACCGGCUACCUUCUCUCUCGGGAAAAUACAUAUUCUACAACAACACCACCGUAGGGUCCUGCUCCCACGGCCAGCACUGGCGGAACCUCCGCCGAAUCACCGCCCUGGACGUCCUCUCCACGCAGCGAGUCCACUCUUUCUCCGGAAUCCGAAGCGACGAGACGAAAAGGUUGGUACAGAGGUUGCUGGCCAAGAACUCCAAGGAGGGUUUUGCUCGCGUGGAGAUAAGCUCCAUGUUCAAUGACUUGACCUACAACAACAUCAUGAGGAUGAUAUCAGGGAAGAGGUUUUACGGAGAGGAGAGUGAGUUGAAGAACGUUGAGAAAGCGAGGGAGUUCAGAGAGACAGUGACAGAGAUGCUAGAACUCAUGGGGGUGGCUAAUAAGGGAGAUCACUUACCUUUCCUAAGAUGGUUCGAUUUUCAGAAUGUGGAGAAGCGUUUGAAGAGUAUUAGUAAAAGGUAUGAUACCAUCUUGAAUGAGAUCAUUGAUGAGAACCGUAGCAAGAAGGACCGCGAGAAUUCCAUGAUUGAUCAUCUUCUCAAACUGCAAGAGACUCAGCCUGAGUACUACACUGACCAAAUCAUCAAAGGCCUUGCUUUGGUAAUGAUUUUAAAUCCAUCUUAUGCAUCUUUCCUUUUCUCAUCACAUGAUUCAUUAGUUUUGUCACUUUCUUCUUUUUUUAAAACAAAUUUUAAAAUCAUAUGUUACAGCGGGAUUAGAUUUUGUUGUUUUUGUAAAAUUGCAUGCUAUGCUCUCCACAAUAUGCAUGCUUUUCUCACUUCAUAUGGUGGAUUUUGGAUUGCAGGCCAUGCUUUUUGGCGGAACUGACUCAUCAACGGGAACCUUAGAGUGGUCGCUAUCUAAUUUAUUGAAUCACCCAGAGGUGUUGAAGAAAGCAAAAGAAGAAUUGGACACUCAAGUAGGACAAGACCGCUUGUUAAAUGAGUCAGACCUUCCAAAACUUCCUUAUCUUAGAAAGAUCAUUCUUGAGACACUUAGGUUGUAUCCUCCAGCUCCAAUUCUAAUACCUCAUGUGUCUUCAGAAGAUAUCACUAUUGAAGGAUUCAAUGUCCCACGAGACACAAUUGUGAUCAUUAAUGGUUGGGGCAUGCAGAGAGAUCCUCAUUUGUGGAAUGAUGCCACAUGCUUUAAAC